GUGCUCAUGGGCCUGGUCUCCUCUCAAGACACAGUCAGUUGUCGGGCAUAAGAGGCCACACUCAUCAUAGCAGAGAGGCAGGAUCAGCUGGGACAGGGUCCUUCUGUGACACCAACUGCAUCACCAGGCUGUGCAAAGUGACUCAGCUGCCAGAACUCACAGAAUAUCAUUCUGCACCAAAACCUCACAGGAAAAAUGGUGGACCCUGAAGUCUCUGCUCAGUUAGGUGAGGUUGGACAGAGGUUUGCGUCAAUGCCUUGAGCCGGUUGCCAUUGCCUGCUGUUGCUCUACAAAGGGACAGGACUUGACACAGAGACAGAGAACCCAUGGGCAAGCAGCAGCCGCAGGAAGCGGACCUGGCGAAAAAGAGCAGCGAAUCGGAACUGAGCGUGGGGGCAGUCCGGGGAGAUAGCGCCGGUCCUUCUAGAAGCCUUCCCUCCUCUGAAACCCGCUGCAGUCCACACCCCCCCAGGUUUAGCCCCCGCCCCGCUUAGGCUCCAUCCCCGAACUCACCGGCCCGCCCCGUCUCGGACCAGUCGAAUAGCAGGUACGGAAGAAUCGCGAGGCGCGGAAGGAUCGCGGGGCUGGCGGCCGCUGCCAUUGUAGAACAAGAGCGCCCGGGACACAACGCGCAGUCGAUGUGGAGACCAGCGGAUGAAUCACUUCGGCCCUCGCAUGCCAGCUAGUGAUUGAGUGUGCUCGGCCCCGUCCCGUCCCGCCCCGCCCCGGGAUCCAGGGGAGCCUAUGCCUGCCCAUGUUUGGAGGGAUGCUCCGCCCUAUCCCGCCCCGUCCCGCCCUUCCCCGCCCCACCCCAGGCUGGGACCCGGGUAGCCUGUGCCUGCUGUGGCUCCGCUUCGUCCCGCCCCGGGCUCGUGGCCUGACAGCGGCCCCCUCUGGCCAACCCUUACCCUCCACCCCGGGCUCCGCGCGGGCCAGGACGCGGUUCCUUCUUGACCGCCUCAUUUAAUUUUUUAACACACCAUUUAUUAUUACCCCAGUGUAAGCACUGAUGCACAGGAAAGCGAAGAAACUUGCACAGGGAUAUUCAGUGGCGGCUGUGUCCCCCCGUCACUGCCUCCGCCAGCGACACCUGCCCUCCUUCAGCCUGCGCCAAGGAGUCCCCGCCCCUCUCCGUCCAGGGCGCAGCUGCUUCCCAGUCCGGGGCAGACCUUCUUUGCCUCUCCACUAAAAGCAUGAGGAAUAUAUAGAAUACAUAUAGAAUAAAGUAUAUUCUAUAUCCCUUUA